CCCCCCCCCCCCCCCCCCGUGUACUCUUGGCUUCUGUCCAUCUGCAGCUUGGGGACUUCCUGAGUCAAAGGUUGAAUCCUCAUCACUGUGCUUUGUAGCCCUUGAUAGAACUUGCUUUCAUAAGCUCGUCUUAGGUGCUUUUUGAGCUCAUUUAUAAUUCUGGCAUCCGUAAAACCCUGUGACACUGCCAUCCUGUGGCACUGAGUGUGGCAAUUUAAGAACUAUGCUGUGCAAAACAGUACUUCCUUCUCCACUCUCUUCGUUACUCAUUAUUCUGUACAUCUUUUAUCCUAUCUCAGGUGUUCCCUUUCUAAGCUAGAGUCCUCGUUUAUUCGAUGACCCCUUCUGUUGAAUCCAUUCCAUAGUUCUGUCAUCCUUACUGCCCUUCUCUGCUUUUUCUGCUUCUGCAGUAUCCUUUUUUUGAGUAGUGGGGACCAAGCCUGCAUCCAGUAUUCAACCUGUGAGUGUCCCAUAGAUCUGUAUGUUUACACAUCUUUAUAUAAUGAGUUGUGUUUUGUUCUCUGUUCCUUUUCCAAUAAUGCCUAAUGUGUUAUUUGCUCUUUUGAUCUGUGAGGGUUGAGCUGACACUAUCAAAGACCUGUCCUCAGUGACUUCAGGUUAGCUUUCCUCAGUGGCAAUAGCUGGGUAGCACCAACCACUACAAAAGGGAAGGAUUCCUUGCCUUUGCACUCCACCCUUGCUACAGUGUUUUACUUUGCAUUUAUCAAAUAUUUGAUUUCUUUGCCAUUCCAUUUAGUCAUUCAGUAUUAUGAAAAUUUCCUGCAGCAAUUUCUCGUGAGUUCUAGUUUUGACAAUCCUGAAUGAUUUUGUCUCACUGGGAACCUUUGGGCAGCCACAGCAUGUACCCGGGAAGAGUGUAUCAUCAGUCCCUUAACGCACACGCAUAGGAGUUACUCCUCAGUGUCUCACCUCUCUGUGCACAUUUAUGUUCAUUGCUAUAGUUUCAUGCAAUGUGUACACAAAUUGGACUUGGUGGUUGGUAGUUUGUCGGAUUAUCCCCAUGGCCUUUUUAAAGAUUCAUAUGACAUUUGCCAGCCUUAUUUCUUUGACACUGAGACCAUUUAGAUCAGCAGGUUACACACCACAGUUCAUAGUUUAGCAUCUUCAUCCUUCAGCUGAUAUAAAUCUCUUGGGUGAAUCCCAUCUUCUCUUGGUGAUAAAUAAUAGCUCAUUUUAUGCAUUUAGUUUCACAUCCCUUACUAACACUUCGAUGUGAGACAGUUUUCUUGACUUGUACCCCAUCAGUAAAGGUUCUUGUCUGGGAACAUCUCCAGCAUCUCAUAUAGAGAUGCAAAGAAUUAAUUUGGCUUUUCUCUUGUAAACUUUUUCCCUCCGUGUUUUUUUAUAUCUUGCUCAUCUGUUGGAUUCACAGACUCUCCAGAUUUUCUGCCUUUGGUGUGCUAGCAAAAGUUCUUUUUGUUCAUUUUUGGGAUGAAGUUUGUGGUUAGGGAUGAUGAUUCCUGAAACUGUAGCCCAAAUUGAAGGACAGUUUGCUGGGUGCUGUUUCACAGUCAAAUAGACCUGUGGUUCUUCUGUUCAUAUGGUCUUUUUUGUACAGCCUUCUUAAUAAGAAACUCUGCUGAAGAAAGCAGAGCAAAGGAUUUGUUGCAAGAGGAACAAACAUGUUUAGAAAGAGAAAGCUUCUUUUCCUAAAAUUUGCAGAAAUUUAAAUCACCCUGGUAUAACAUACUUACUGGAGUAGAUGUAGAUUUGCAGAAAUGGACUUCGGAGCGAUAAAAAGUUUCUCCAAUGACUGCAAAAAAACCCUGUGUGACUCAUGUGGCUAAUGAAGCCAUCUUAAAUUAUUCUAUCCAAAAUAAAAGGUUUCUGGUCAGAGCAGGAAAGCUAGAAGACGGAAUACUUCAUAGGAAGUGGGAUGGGCAGCAAGCAUCAGUUGACAAAGGAGAUUCUGAAGUCCUUGUGACUUUUAAAACAGAUGGCCAUUUGGGGAGAGCAAAAAUCUUAAUCUAAGGAAAAGACAGGGGUAAAAUGCUACUGGGGCGGGAAGUAUAGUAAAUGUGCUACCAAAGAGGGUUUCAGUUACCACACAAGGUACUAUGUUUUGUAAGCAUAUUGACAGAGUGUAUUGCUGUUGAUGUUCUUGGGCUUGAAACUUGCGUACUGAAGAACCAAGAGAAGGUGAUGCUGGCAGAGACUGAAAUGGAUGAAUUCUCACUAGAUAUGACUUCUGAAAGAGACCACGUUACUCUCAAGGAUGGAAUCUGGGACUCCAGCUACUUCGGUGACAGCCAAUGAACAAGAACUGCAUUGUGGGUGCUAGCAAAAAAGCUACUAGUGAAGGAGCAGCAGCAGAAGAUAGCAUUAGAAAGGAGAAAUAAACAAGAGGCCCAUUACCAAUGGAGUUUGACAGGCUGGGAUGGAGAUGAAGAGGGGUGGCCUAUUGAAAGUGCAGAGGAAAUCAGAGUAUGCAAGGGAAGACCUAAAAAGGAAUAUAACUUUUCACAGCACCCUGUUUUCGUCUAGUAAUCUGACAGAUCAGCAUUGUAAAACUAUUGCUUCACAUGAGAUUUCAGAAGGAGAUCCUUAGAACAUCGAAUCCUGUUCAAAUACUGUCUGUGGAAAUAGCUGGUACUUAGCUGCAGGACUUUCUCCCUGAAUAUAAACCUUUCGUUAGUUGCUGCCAAAUAAUAUCUAGUUAGCAGUUAGAGGUUACUGCAUUUGGUGAUAAGAAGCAUGUGUGUGUGGAGGGUUUUUUCCUUGCAGGUCUUUGGCUAAAUAAUAUAAUAAGCAUAUUCAUCUUCUUUCUGAAGCCCUUUUUGACCUUCAGUUUACUGGCAUCUGUUCAACGCCAAGGCAGCUAUGUUACUUCUUCCACGUGUGUGUUGCUGCCUUCCCGCCUGAGGACCAGUGGACUGGCAUGUGUGAGCAGCCCUCAGCCGUGGCAGAAUGAAGGCCAGAGGCUCUCUUCAAAAUACCUUAAUUGGCAGCUUAAGGUGUGUGGUAAACGCUGGACGGUUUUGUGCUGAAGUGCCUCCAGAGCAUUCACGUGUUCUGCUGACUUUGGUGAGAAAGGGCACCUCUGGCAGACACGUGCUGACAAGCGAGUGAGGGCGAUGAUACCUGAAAACUCACAGGCAUUUUGGCAAUGGGCUUCUCAUUACAAUCUCUUUGUAACGUCAGGGAAGUCCACAUGCAGCUCCAUGCUGAGGAGGAAGUAGGCUCCUAUUCUUAAUGUAUGUGAAGUAUUUAUUACGAUAUGUAUUAAAAAGUGCUUUGUCUUA